GGCUUCCUAGUUUAUAAAGAAUAUUUGUGUUGCAUACAAAAGGAGGAAUUUCCGCAAGCC
rnacentral:tRNA from 1 species